UACGUAGGGUGCAAGCGUUGUCCGGAAUUAUUGGGCGUAAAGGGCUCGUAGGCGGUCCAUCGCGUCGGGAGUGAAAAGCUGGGGCUUAACCCCAGUCCUGCUUCCGAUACGGGUGGACUAGAGGUAGGUAGGGGAGAACGGAAUUCCUGGUGUAGCGGUGAAAUGACGCAGAUAUCAGGAGGAACACCGGUGGCGAAGGCGGUUCUCUGGGCCUUACCUGACGCUGAGGAGCGAAAGCAUGGGGAGCAAACAGG
rnacentral:rRNA from 1 species